rnacentral:rRNA from 1 species
UACGUAGGGUGCAAGCGUUGUCCGGAAUUAUUGGGCGUAAAGAGCUCGUAGGCGGUGUGUCGCGUCGAUCGUGAAAACUUGGGGCUUAACCCUGAGCUUGCGGUCGAUACGGGCAUCACUUGAGUUCGGCAGGGGAGACUGGAAUUCCAGGUGUAGCGGUGAAAUGCGUAGAUAUCUGGAGGAACACCGGUGGCGAAGGCGGCAUCCUGGACCAACACUGACGCUGAGGAGCGAAAGCCAGGGGAGCAAACGGG